GUUAAAGAAAAGGCAGAUGUCUAACACUGACUAUGAAGAAAAUGACUUGACAGCUGAAGGGAACAUGAACAAUUUGAAUCAGAUUUCUGAUGUGGCUCUUAAAGCAGUGAACUAAAAUACAUUUUCUAACCAAAAUAAAGAUUUUAAUAUCAAAGUUUUUGGAAGGGGGAUAUAGGAACCACCCUGUUUGUUUGUCCAUCUGACUAUCUAUCUGUGGACAACACUUGGAUACUACUGCUCUAGCUCUAGUUGACUAACAUAGAUAAUAUCUGAAAUCAAAUGUGUCAUAC